GAUGAACGCUGGCGGCGUGCUUAACACAUGCAAGUCGAACGGGAAACCUUUUAAUGAAGCUUCGGCAGAUUUAGCUGGUUUCUAGUGGCGGACGGGUGAGUAACGCGUGGGUAACCUGCCUUAUGCAGGGGGAUAACAGUCAGAAAUGACUGCUAAUACCGCAUAAGCGCACAGGACCGCAUGGUCCGGUGUGAAAAACUCCGGUGGUAUAAGAUGGACCCGCGUUGGAUUAGCUUGUUGGUGGGGUAACGGCUCACCAAGGCGACGAUCCAUAGCCGGCCUGAGAGGGUGAACGGCCACAUUGGGACUGAGACACGGCCCAGACUCCUACGGGAGGCAGCAGUGGGGAAUAUUGCACAAUGGGGGAAACCCUGAUGCAGCGACGCCGCGUGAAGGAAGAAGUAUCUCGGUAUGUAAACUUCUAUCAGCAGGGAAGAUAGUGACGGUACCUGACUAAGAAGCCCCGGCUAACUACGUG
rnacentral:rRNA from 1 species